AUUUUACUGACCAAGAUCAACCUUGAGGUUCAUUUCUACAAUUGCAUGUGAUAUGUCUAUACAUUUAUCUUUAUUGUUCUUGAAAAAGCAAAAAUACAAGCUGAUAGCUAAAUAAAGUAAAUCUGAAGUUCAACAUAAUGCUGAAUGUACUCAGCCGCGGGCUAGCAGUUUGUGGCUUCAGACAGUUUUCAGCUCUGGCUUCAAGACCAUUAGUGUACCAGAAUGUCAUCCAAACAGACCUUGACCAUUCACAUAUAUCUACACAUGCAGUUGUGUCGCAACCUCUGGCAGCAACUAUUUCUAGCAUACAGUUUCAACAAAUUAGAACAUACAAAGUUCGGACUAAACUGAAGCUGCGGUGUGCUGGAUGCUAUUUUGAACGUCGUCAUGGUAGAAUGUAUGUAGAAUGUACAAUUAAAGGCAGGCACAAGCAAAUGAUGAAGGCAACUGGGUUUGGUAUUUUCAAGGAUGAUUAUGCCAAAGGUCGAUGGCGUGAGGCAAUCCACUGGAAUUAUCACGAGAAUUUGUUUUACCAAUCAGGGGACACUCAGACGUCAAGAAUAACAAGCAGUUGGAUGAGACAAAGACUAGGAAAAGACUUGUAGGAUUAUUAUGUACUGAUGUUCAUAACUGGAACAGUUACAAAAUGAAAGUCUAUUUCAAUCAUGUAAUUGUGUAUUUUGUUUAAAUUAAAACCAAUUUGUCCUUUUUAAUAAAAUUUAUAGUUGCAUAGUCAGUCAAUGUAUGUAACAGAUGAACCAGUGUAACAAGUUAUUGAAAAAACUU